UGCAGGUGAUGGUCUUUCUCACGAUGGUCUUCUGAGCCUGUGUGGCCCUGAGGACACCUGCCUCAUGGCAAUACUGAUGCAGCCCA
ensembl:snoRNA